rnacentral:rRNA from 1 species
UACGAAGGGGGCUAGCGUUGCUCGGAAUCACUGGGCGUAAAGCGCACGUAGGCGGAUUGUUAAGUCAGGGGUGAAAUCCUGGAGCUCAACUCCAGAACUGCCUUUGAUACUGGCGAUCUUGAGUCCGGGAGAGGUGAGUGAAACUGCGAGUGUAGAGGUGAAAUUCGUAGAUAUUCGCAAGAACACCAGUGGCGAAGGCGGCUCACUGGCCCGGUACUGACGCUGAGGUGCGAAAGCGUGGGGAGCAAACAGG